CUCCGUUUCCCGUCAUUCAUUUUAAGAAGCUUUCCUUUUGGUUUUCGUUUUCGCGGCACUGUUCUUUCUUCUCUAAGCAGCUAAGCUUCUCUUUGGUUUCGUGUUUCCGGCUAGGCUUCUCAAGGGUUCAAUAAUAAAGCGGCGACAAGGUACUUAGCACUUUCCUCGAUGUUGAUGACCCGAGAGAAAGCCGGAAAUUUCAUAAGAAGAAGCCUUGAAGUCAAAAAGAAGCAAAGAACCAAGCAAGAGCAAGCAUCACAAUAACCAAGCAAGCGCCAGCACAUUGUCGUGACACGGUCAGCCUAGCCGUGGCGCGGCAGCCUGUUUCUGCCCACCGCGGGCGCGGUGCUGCGUUUUCCAGUUUUUCAUGGCUUCCUGUAAAUGCCUCGGAGAUGCCCCACCGCGGGCGCGGUACCCCUGCCACCGCGGGCGCGGCCUUGUUGAGCGCAGGCGCGGUAUUCAGGGUUUUCUUCGCGUUUAAUCUUCGAUUUUUCUCCGUUUUCUUCUUGUAAUAUAAAGAGUGUACGACCCUAUUUUGGGGGAAAGACUUCCUUUAGAAGAUUUUUACACUUUCUCUCUCCUCUAAUUAGGAUUAGGCUUAGAUUAGGAGUUUCUCUCUCUAGUUUAGGAGUAGUUUUAGAGAGAGAAGUUUGGGAUUUCAAUGAAGAUUUGAGAGCUUGAAGAAGCAUUUAUGUGGAUUCUCUUCUCAAUUAUUCAAUGAGCUUUUCUAACUUUCUCUCA